rnacentral:misc_RNA from 1 species
AGGUAUUAUUGCUAUUCAAAUAACCAAUAAUACCUAUGAUGUGCGAAGAGGGGCUUUACUGCACAACCUUACAUGGGGGAAACUCAUUCCCCCUCAUAUUACCAACUUCAAGCGUGGGGAUAUGACAUUCCCAAUGAUAUUCCCAUUUAGAUUCUUGUACCCUGUUUAACCGAACCAAACGGGUCCAUUCCACAAUUGCCGAAGUGAAAGGUAUUUCCU